AUCUACUGCCUUGGUACCUAAAGGAGGAAGAGGAGGAGGAGGAGGGUGUGUUGUUGAAUGGUGGCUAAAGCCUCCUCGGGACGGCGCUGAGGUGAAAGAGGCUGAAGCCGGCUGAUGUGGCUCCUCUCUGGGUUGGACCCUGAGCAGCCGAGGAGAGACCUUCGGCCGCCCGGCUCGCAGGUCCCUUUUUAGCACUGAGACGGGCAUGCUCAUUGUGAGCUACGCAGUGAGGGAGCGCCUUCUCCAACACUGAUUGACUGGGAUCAAACAGCCUGUGCACUGGGAAGCUUCUCCUGCCUGUACCCACACGAAGGGACUUUGCAAGCCACGUUGCCAGCUCGGGGUUUGGCAGCCCCUGCCAUUAGGCAAGGAGCAUGGAAGAGGGGACAUUGCUGCCCUUGCUUACAGUGAGCGACUGCUUCAAGGGACUGUCAGAGGUUGCAAGACAAAUCUUACCCCCUCCCCUUAAGGUUGUUAUAAACUGCAGGAGAACAUCUUUUGAUUUGUUGGGACUUGAGAGUUUAUUUUGUCAGGAAAGCUGUUGGUUCAUGCAGUGGCUGCUCCUUAGCUGUUCGAUCACACUUCCAACUCUAUAUUUGAUCAUUCUUUUGGUUAUGAAUUUAGGCAAAAAUUUACCUCUGUGUUUUAAUGUCACACUGUUGAUAUUUUUCUGGUUCAGAGAUGUUUUCCUGAGUCAGACCCUUGCACUUAGUGACAUUGGUACAAUUUCUAGAAAGGUGGUGUCACCAGCAGGAGUGUGGCACCAUCUUGAUGUGAGACUGCAAAUGGUAAGGGGGAGCACACUAGGAAUGACCAUUUCUUGGUGUCCAUUCACAGAAGAAGGACUAAGAAGUCAAGGUUAUUCACUAGAAAUGCAAACUGGAGAGGCCUUUAUUUUCCAAACUGCAAGAUUACAGAAACAAUAAGGGUAACACAGAAGUCUCAAGAAAUGGCUUAAUUUUCUUCCAAAAUAAUGGAAACUGAAAAAACA